CAGUAGCCGCGGGAAUACGGAGGAUCCGAGCGUUAUCCGGAUUUAUUGGGUUUAAAGGGUGCGUAGGCGGCCUGUUAAGUCAGGGGUGAAAGACGGUGGCUCAACCAUCGCAGUGCCCUUGAUACUGAUGGGCUUGAAUGUACUAGAGGUAGGCGGAAUGAGACAAGUAGCGGUGAAAUGCAUAGAUAUGUCUCAGAACACCGAUUGCGAAGGCAGCUUACUAUGGUACUAUUGACGCUGAGGCACGAAAGCGUGGGGAUCGAACAGGAUUAGAUACCCGAGUAGUCCCUGUCUCUUAUAC
rnacentral:rRNA from 1 species